rnacentral:rRNA from 1 species
AUUGAACGCUGGCGGAAUGCUUUACACAUGCAAGUCGAACGGCAGCACGGACUUCGGUCUGGUGGCGAGUGGCGAACGGGUGAGUAAUACAUCGGAACGUGCCCAGUCGUGGGGGAUAACGUAGCGAAAGCUACGCUAAUACCGCAUACGAUCUAAGGAUGAAAGCGGGGGAUCGCAAGACCUCGCGCGAUUGGAGCGGCCGAUGGCAGAUUAGGUAGUUGGUGGGGUAAAGGCUCACCAAGCCGACGAUCUGUAGCUGGUCUGAGAGGACGACCAGCCACACUGGAACUGAGACACGGUCCAGACUCCUACGGGAGGCAGCAGUGGGGAAUUUUGGACAAUGGGGGCAACCCUGAUCCAGCCAUUCCGCGUGAGUGAAGAAGGCCUCGGUUGUAAGCUCUUUCAGCAGGAACGAAACGGUAGG